rnacentral:rRNA from 1 species
GAUGAACGCUGGCGGCGUGCCUAAUACAUGCAAGUCGAGCGAACAGACGAGGAGCUUGCUCCUCUGACGUUAGCGGCGGACGGGUGAGUAACACGUGGAUAACCUACCUAUAAGACUGGGAUAACUUCGGGAAACCGGAGCUAAUACCGGAUAAUAUAUUGAACCGCAUGGUUCAAUAGUGAAAGACGGUUUUGCUGUCACUUAUAGAUGGAUCCGCGCCGCAUUAGCUAGUUGGUAAGGUAACGGCUUACCAAGGCAACGAUGCGUAGCCGACCUGAGAGGGUGAUCGGCCACACUGGAACUGAGACACGGUCCAGACUCCUACGGGAGGCAGCAGUAGGGAAUCUUCCGCAAUGGGCGAAAGCCUGACGGAGCAACGCCGCGUGAGUGAUGAAGGUCUUCGGAUCGUAAAACUCUGUUAUUAGGGAAGAACAAAUGUGUAAGUAACUAUGCACGUCGUGACGGUACCUAAUCAGAAAGCCACGGCUAACUACGUG